ACUCCUACGGGAGGCAGCAGUGGGGAAUCUUGCGCAAUGGGCGAAAGCCUGACGCAGCAACGCCGCGUGAGUGAUGAAGGUCUUCGGAUCGUAAAGCUCUGUCGGAGGGGACAAGGCUUUCAUCUGCUAAUAGUAGAUGGAGGUGAUGGUACCCUUAAAGGAAGCACCGGCUAACUCUGUGCCAGCAGCCGCGGUAAUACAGAGGGUGCAAGCGUUGUUCGGAAUUAUUGGGCGUAAAGGGAGUGUAGGCGGUUUUUUAAGUCUUCUGUGAAAUCUACGGGCUAAACCUGUAACGUGCAGAAGAAACUGGAGAGCUUGAGUGUUGGAGAGGAUAGUGGAAUUCCCGGUGUAGAGGUGAAAUUCGUAGAGAUCGGGAGGAACACCAGUGGCGAAGGCGACUAUCUGGCUGACAACUGACGCUGAGACUCGAAAGCAUGGGGAGCAAACAGGAUUAGAUACCCUGGUAGUCCAUGCCGUAAACGAUGAUAACUAGAUGUGUGAGGUAUUGACCCCUUACGUGUCGUAGCUAACGCGAUAAGUUAUCCGCCUGGGGAGUACGGUCGCAAGAUUAAAACUCAAAGGAAUUGACG
rnacentral:rRNA from 1 species